AGAGUUUGAUCAUGGCUCAUAGCGAACGCUGGCGGCGGGCUUAAGACAUCGCAAGUCGAGCGGGCGUAGCAAUACGUCAUCGGCAGACGGGUGAGUAACGCAGAGCGAACAUACCUUUUGGUUCGGAACAACCUAGGGAAACUUGUUCUAAUAUCGGAUAAGCCCUUACGGGGAGAGAUUUAUCGGCCUAAAGAUUGACCCGCGUCUGAUUAGCUAGGUGGUGAGGUAAUGGCUCACCAAGGCGACGAUCAGUAGAUGGACUGAGAGGAUGAUCAGACACAUUGGGACUGAGACACGGACCAAACUCCUACGGGAGGCAGCAGUGGGGAAUAUUGGACAAUGGGCGCAAGCCUGAUCCAGCCAUGCCGCGUGAGUGAUGAAGGCCCUAGGGUUGUAAAGCUCUUUUGUGCGGGAAGAUAAUGACGGUACCGCAAGAAUAAGUCCCGGCUAACUUCGUGCCAGCAGCCGCGGUAAUACGAAGGGGGCUAGCGUUGCUAGUAAUCAGCGGGCGUAAAGGGUGAGUAGGCGUGUCUUUAAGUCAGGGGUGAAAUCCUGGAGCUCAACUCCAGAACUGCCUUUGAUACUGAAGAUCUUGAGUUCGGGAGAGGUGAGUGGAACUGCGAGUGUAGAGGUGAAAUUCGUAUAUAUUCGCAAGACACAUCCAGUGGCAAGGCGAGCUCACUGGCCCGAUACUGACGCUGAUGCACGAAAGCGUGGGGAGCAAACAGGAUUAGAUACCCCCGUAGUCC
rnacentral:rRNA from 1 species